UACGAAGGGUGCAAGCGUUAAUCGGAAUUACUGGGCGUAAAGCGUGCGUAGGCGGUUUCUUAAGUCUGCUGUGAAAGUCCUGGGCUCAACCUGGGAACUGCGCUUGAUACGGCAGAGCUAGAGGAUGGAAGAGGGUCGCGGAAUUCCCAGUGUAGAGGUGAAAUUCGUAGAUAUUGGGAAGAACACCGGUGGCGAAGGCGGCGACCUGGUCCAUUACUGACGCUGAGGCGCGACAGCGUGGGGGAGCAAACAGG
rnacentral:rRNA from 1 species